AAGCCAGUGGUGAACUCCGCAUACGCAUCCUUUGCUGAGGAUACGGUUAACGGAGCGAAAGCGACGUUCAACCUCAAAAGAAGCAGAGGGGGCUUAGUGGUGGGGUGACUGCGUACCUUUUGUAUAAUGGGUCAGCGACUUAUAUUCUGUAGCAAGGUUAACCGUAUAGGGGAGCCGUAGGGAAACCGAGUCUUAACCGGGCGUUAAGUUGCAGGGUAUAGACCCGAAACCCGGUGAUCUAGCCAUGGGCAGGUUGAAGGUUGGGUAACACUAACUGGAGGACCGAACCGACUAAUGUUGAAAAAUUAGCGGAUGACCUGUGGCUGGGGGUGAAAGGCCAAUCAAACCGGGAGAUAGCUGGUUCUCCCCGAAAGCUAUUUAGGUAGCGCCUCGUGAAUUCAUCUCCGGGGGUAGAGCACUGUUUCGGCUAGGGGGUCAUCCCGACUUACCAACCCGAUGCAAACUGCGAAUACCGGAGAAUGUUAUCACGGGAGACACACGGCGGGUGCUAACGUCCGUCGUGAAGAGGGAAACAACCCAGACCGCCAGCUAAGGUCCCAAAGUCAUGGUUAAGUGGGAAACGAUGUGGGAAGGCCCAGACAGCCAGGAUGUUGGCUUAGAAGCAGCCAUCAUUUAAAGAAAGCGUAAUAGCUCACUGGUCGAGUCGGCCUGCGCGGAAGAUGUAACGGGGCUAAACCAUGCACCGAAGCUGCGGCAGCGACACUGUGUGUUGUUGGGUAGGGGAGCGUUCUGUAAGCCUGUGAAGGUGGCCUGUGAGGGUUGCUGGAGGUAUCAGAAGUGCGAAUGCUGACAUAAGUAACGAUAAAGCGGGUGAAAAGCCCGCUCGCCGGAAGACCAAGGGUUCCUGUCCAACGUUAAUCGGGGCAGGGUGAGUCGACCCCUAAGGCGAGGCCGAAAGGCGUAGUCGAUGGGAAACGGGUUAAUAUUCCCGUACUUGGUGUUACUGCGAAGGGGGGACGGAGAAGGCUAUGUUGGCCGGGCGACGGUUGUCCCGGUUUAAGCGUGUAGGUGUGUGUUCCAGGUAAAUCCGGUUCACUUUAACACUGAGGCGUGAUGACGAGGCACUACGGUGCUGAAGCAACAAAUGCCCUGCUUCCAGGAAAAGCCUCUAAGCAUCAGGUAACAUCAAAUCGUACCCCAAACCGACACAGGUGGUCAGGUAGAGAAUACCAAGGCGCUUGAGAGAACUCGGGUGAAGGAACUAGGCAAAAUGGUGCCGUAACUUCGGGAGAAGGCACGCUGACACGUAGGUGAAGUGAUUUACUCAUGGAGCUGAAGUCAGUCGAAGAUACCAGCUGGCUGCAACUGUUUAUUAAAAACACAGCACUGUGCAAACACGAAAGUGGACGUAUACGGUGUGACGCCUGCCCGGUGCCGGAAGGUUAAUUGAUGGGGUCAGCGCAAGCGAAGCUCCUGAUCGAAGCCCCGGUAAACGGCGGCCGUAACUAUAACGGUCCUAAGGUAGCGAAAUUCCUUGUCGGGUAAGUUCCGACCUGCACGAAUGGCGUAAUGAUGGCCAGGCUGUCUCCACCCGAGACUCAGUGAAAUUGAACUCGCUGUGAAGAUGCAGUGUACCCGCGGCAAGACGGAAAGACCCCGUGAACCUUUACUAUAGCUUGACACUGAACAUUGAGCCUUGAUGUGUAGGAUAGGUGGGAGGCUUUGAAGCGUGGACGCCAGUCUGCGUGGAGCCGACCUUGAAAUACCACCCUUUAAUGUUUGAUGUUCUAACGUGGACCCGUUACCCGGGUUGCGGACAGUGUCUGGUGGGUAGUUUGACUGGGGCGGUCUCCUCCUAAAGAGUAACGGAGGAGCACGAAGGUUGGCUAAUCCUGGUCGGACAUCAGGAGGUUAGUGCAAUGGCAUAAGCCAGCUUGACUGCGAGCGUGACGGCGCGAGCAGGUGCGAAAGCAGGUCAUAGUGAUCCGGUGGUUCUGAAUGGAAGGGCCAUCGCUCAACGGAUAAAAGGUACUCCGGGGAUAACAGGCUGAUACCGCCCAAGAGUUCAUAUCGACGGCGGUGUUUGGCACCUCGAUGUCGGCUCAUCACAUCCUGGGGCUGAAGUAGGUCCCAAGGGUAUGGCUGUUCGCCAUUUAAAGUGGUACGCGAGCUGGGUUUAGAACGUCGUGAGACAGUUCGGUCCCUAUCUGCCGUGGGCGCUGGAGAACUGAGGGGGGCUGCUCCUAGUACGAGAGGACCGGAGUGGACGCAUCACUGGUGUUCGGGUUGUCAUGCCAAUGGCACUGCCCGGUAGCUAAAUGCGGAAGAGAUAAGUGCUGAAAGCAUCUAAGCACGAAACUUGCCCCGAG
rnacentral:rRNA from 1 species